rnacentral:rRNA from 1 species
AUUGAACGCUGGCGGCAGGCCUAACACAUGCAAGUCGAACGAGUGGCGGACGGGUGAGUAAUGUCUGGGAAACUGCCUGAUGGAGGGGGAUAACUACUGGAAACGGUAGCUAAUACCGCAUACCAUCAGAUGUGCCCAGAUGGGAUUAGCUUGUAGGUGGGGUAAUGGCUCAACAAGGCGACGAUCCCUAGCUGGUCUGAGAGGAUGACCAGCCACACUGGAACGUAGACACGGUCCAGACGCCUAUGGGAGGCAGCAGUGGGGAAUAUUGCACAAUGGGCGCAAGCCUGAUGCAGCCAUGCCGCGUGUAUGAAGAAGGCCUUCGGGUUGUAAAGUACUUUCAGCGGGGAGGCGUUACCCGCAGAAGAAGCACCGGCUAACUCCGUGCCAGCCGCCGCGGUAAUUC